CCUACGGGAGGCAGCAGUAGGGAAUCUUCCACAAUGGGCGAAAGCCUGAUGGAGCAACGCCGCGUGGGUGAAGAAGGUCUUCGGAUCGUAAAACCCUGUUGUUAGAGAAGAAAGUGCGUGAGAGUAACUGUUCACGUUUCGACGGUAUCUAACCAGAAAGCCACGGCUAACUACGUGCCAGCAGCCGCGGUAAUACGUAGGUGGCAAGCGUUAUCCGGAUUUAUGGGCCGUAAAGGGAACGCAGGCGGUCUUUUAAGUCUGAUGGGAAAGCCUUCGGCUUAACCGGAGUAGUGCAUUGGAAACUGGGAGACUUGAGUGCAGAAGAGGAGAGUGGAACUCCAUGUGUACCGGUGAAAUGCGUAGAUAUAUGGAAGAACACCAGUGGCGAAAGCGGCUCUCUGGUCUGUAACUGACGCUGAGGUUCGAAAGCGUGGGUAGCAAACAGGAUUAGAUACCCCAGUAGUC
rnacentral:rRNA from 1 species